CAUCAGAUUUUAAUGCUAAAACGUAUUAUUUAACGGAUCGGUGCCGCACGUGCCGGGCUCGCGCUACUUGUGGACAGUUUGUAGUGUUAUGUACAAGGCUGCCGAUAACUACGAAACCAACCGGAAUAGCAACUCAUUUGCAUAAUGUGAAGUGUUGAUAUUGAGCAAGUUGACCGCGCUUACCAAAUAUUAUAUCUUACAUUUGAAAUUCAAAUGUUACCUUACAUAGAGACGUGACCUAAUAAACAAAGCUUAAUCGUGACGCACACACUGGCACCUUGUGCAAGUGUGCGUCGCGUGCAAGACGCGGACACGCGUGCAAGUGUGUGCGCUCCUCGUGUACCCGGCGCACUCGGGGCACUCGGGGCACUCGGGCCACUCGGGGCACUCGGGCCAUUCGGGCCACUCGGGCCACUCGGGCCACUCGGGGCAGUAGUACAGCACUCGCUGAACUUGGUCAGGCUAGCAGGAGCAGGUGUAGCUGUCGCCCCGCUCGAUGCUCACAGCGCCUUCCAAGCCAGGUGACACACCCCUUGCACAAUACUACUUCGAGCAUCCAGUGUCCUGCACAGAGCAGGACUCUCCUCGGAUAGGAGUCGGAGCGCGUGCGCAGGUCACAGCCGCGGUAAUGGUGCUCGUGGAGCUGCUCAGGGUCGCAGCGCUUAACGUUAAUAAUAAAUGAUAGCUUGUAAUGCGAUGCCGAUGCCGCUGACGACCGCUCAUUUUAGAUAAAUUGCUAGAUACGUGUUAUUAUAAUGAUGUACUCAAAACUGGUCACGCAGUCGUUUCAUCACUACAAAGUAUUGUUUACAAAAUAAUUGCAAUACUUGAGAUUAUCUAGCGCUAAGCUCGUUACUGCUUGCGUCGCUGUAAUGGCAGUGUCUGUGAUUAGGCGGCGCGCACACAACGCGUGCGGCCGCGACCGAGGACUCUUCACCCUCGCCGCAUCCGCACAUUGAACGGGGAUUUCCUGUUUCCAAUUAUGAUAUUGUUAGAAAUGUAAAUAUAAAUAAUAUAAGCUUUCGCAAACCUUGUCAUAAUCGUAGCAUUUCAAAAGAGUAAUUAUAAUGUAAGAAUAUUGUGAGGCACGCACGCUGCUGGUCGCGGCGUGGAGCGACGACUGUGUGCAGCCUGCAUGCGCACGCGUCGACACUAGCGCUGCAACCGAUCGAUAUUCCCAGGCAAUCGAUUGCCUUACUAUUCUCUCACGGAGUUUUUCUUUUCGUAAAGUUUGAUCCAAGUAUCUGUUUGAGCUAAUGGCAUGCAAGUAUAAGUUUAUGUUUACCGUUAUUUGAAAUAAUACGCAAAUUUAAAAAAAAAGUGAGAUGUGCUUAGGGCAUAUUUGGACUUGGAUUCACCAUGUAUAGUAAAUAAUAAAAAGUAAAUAAAAAAAGUUUGAUAUGGAAUACAAAACUAGAUAAUACCUACAUAAGGAAAAUUGAGAAAAAAUAUCUUAAUAAAAACCAGGACUUAAAUAUCUGAAAUUGCUAACUCGCCUUGAUUUAACUUUCAUUCCUUCUCUGUAUGAGAAGAGUACCUAUGACUAGCAGUGCGAUAAUAAAAAAAACUGAUGAUGAUUCGUGUUUUAAAUGCACUUUUGUUUGACUAGCACGCAUACUUGUUACAUAGGUAUGACUAAAAGUCUGAUUAGUUGUCAGAUCGCGAGCAGAGGUCGCGGUGCGCCGGCGCAAUCGGGCGCGGCUUGCAUACAUAACGACACACACACACACACACCCACACACACACACUACACCCCGCCGACUCGCUGGUCGCUUGGACAUGACGCUAGGACGCCUUGCGCCCAUCAACCUAGCUCGAUAAGUCUGCUAACAAUAGUUUUAGGUUGAGUUAUCGGUCUGGCUGAAUAUAUGACUUCUGUACAUCUACCAAAUUGUACAAUUGUUACUAUAACACUCAACAUGGAUUUUAGUAAAACAGUGCUCAAAAGUGAAG